UCGAGAGAAAGGGCAGGGGAAGAACAAAAACCCUAAUCAGCCUAAAUUCUUCAAAUUGAGGGAGGAAUUUGGCUCAAAACUAAUGCAUGAACCAAGAUUCUUGACCACCCAAGUGUUCUUCACACCAAGAAUCAUGUCAAGACGGACUCAAGCAUGAAAGGCUAACGGGUCAAGAGGAGACAAGGAAUCGGAUACGAACCCGGAUGCACGAGGUUGUAUGAGUCACGGAGGAUUACUGAAAAGUGAAGAUCGAAGACCGAGUCUUAAGUUAUAUUGUACGGGAGUGUUUGAAUAAGUAAUGUCAUAAAUAUAAUUUAUAUUUCUAUUUGUAAAUAAGUUCAAGGGGAGUAUUCAG